CCUACGGGUGGCAGCAGUAGGGAAUUUUCGUCAAUGGGCGCAAGCCUGAUCGAGCGAUGCCGCGUGAGUGAAGAAGGCCUUCGGGUCGUAAAGCUCUGUUGCGGGGGAAAAAAGUCAGCAUCAGGAAAUGGGUGCUGACUGAUGGUGCCCCGCCAGAAAGUCACGGCUAACUACGUGCCAGCAGCCGCGGUAAUACGUAGGGGGCAAGCGUUAUCCGGAUUUACUGGGUGUAAAGGGGGCGCAGACGGCAAUGCAAGCCAGGAGUGAAAGCCCGGGGCCCAACACCGGGACUGCUCUUGGAACUGGAUGGCUGGAGUACAGGAGGGGCAGGCGGAAGUCCUAGUGUAGCGGUGAAAUGCGUAGAUAUUAGGAGGAACACCGGUGGCGAAGGCGGCCUGCUGGACUGUGACUGACGUUGAGGCCCGAAGGCGUGGGGAGCAAACAGGAUUAGAUACCCCAGUAGUC
rnacentral:rRNA from 1 species